CCUACGGGAGGCAGCAGUGGGGAAUCUUGCGCAAUGGGCGAAAGCCUGACGCAGCCAUGCCGCGUGAAUGAUGAAGGUCUUAGGAUUGUAAAAUUCUUUCAGUAGGGACGAUAAUGACGGUACCUACAGAAGAAGCCCCGGCUAACUUCGUGCCAGCAGCCGCGGUAAUACGAAGGGGGCUAGCGUUGCUCGGAAUUACUGGGCGUAAAGGGAGCGUAGGCGGACAUUUAAGUCAGGGGUGAAAUCCCAGAGCUCAACUCUGGAACUGCCUUUGAUACUGGGUGUCUUGAGUGUGAUAGAGGUAUGUGGAACUCCGAGUGUAGAGGUGAAAUUCGUAGAUAUUCGGAAGAACACCAGUGGCGAAGGCGACAUACUGGAUCAUUACUGACGCUGAGGCUCGAAAGCGUGGGGAGCAAACAGGAUUAGAUACCCUGGUAGUCCACGCCGUAAACGAUGAUUGUNUAGUGUCGGUAGUAGUUACUAUCUCGUGACGCGAGCUACGACAUUAAGUACAACUACCGCCGUCGGGGUAGGGUACGGGUUCGGCGAAGAAGUUAAAACUAACGAAACGGAAAGUUAGUACGGCGUGAGACGUCGCCGACGGACGACCGACCGAGGGGAGGUUAGG
rnacentral:rRNA from 1 species